rnacentral:lncRNA from 1 species
UUUCAGUAAAGAGCUCAAUUACAUGACCAACAACAAAUGGGUAAUCCUAUUCAUAUCAAGUGAACAAUAGAGUGCUUGUUAUUUAGAAGGUAUUGUGACCGAGCUCCAGGCUUUUGUAACCAGUGGUUUACUUAAGUCUCUCCUCUCUAUGUGUUAAUAUUAUACAUUAUAUAUACUAUGUAUACAUAUUAUGUAUUUAGUAUUCUACUCAGCUAUUCCAUUCAACCUCCAUUGAAGACUGUGUGACUUUAUUACAGAAAUAGAGUUCACAGUAAAGACGACUUGCAUACAAAAGUCCUAUAUUUUUAUUUUACAAUGCUAUUUUCUUUCAGCAAAAUUAAAAAGCUGGCGCUGCCAAGAUCGCCUGCGUUUUGGAACAGGAUGGAAACUAGCCUCCUUUUCAGAUCCCUGGCGUCCUGGUGAUUUGAUUAAGAACACAAGUACCCAGCAAGCAAGAAGCACCUUGAGAGCUGCCCGGGGGACAUUUCAGAGGAAAGCCCCAGGGAAAAGGAGAGGUCUGACAAGAGCAGCCCGCAGGCUACAUCGUGCUGAUGCCGCUCCCUUUUACAGGUGAACUUUCACAGAAAAGCAGUUUUAAGUUCACAGAAGGGGUUCGGAUGACCUUCAGAAGCUGGGCGUCCAGCGUUUCCACUUUGGCCUCGCGUUUUAACAUAGUGUGGCGAGAGCCGACCUCCCCCGACAGACCUGCACUCGGAGGCACAGCGGCUCGCUCCAGCCGCCGGGUCGCGUCCGGGUGCGGAGCUCAGAGCGCCCGGGUCGCGGGCAUCGGGGCGGGUGUGUUGCCGGAGUAGCCUCGGAUUGGCUGCCCUAGGGCCGCCCUACCCGGGCACCGGAUUGGGCGGAGCUGGGCCCUGCUGGCCGAGCUCAUUGGAGGGAGCGGCAGGGGCGGGGCGGGCUGGGUGCCGACCGGGCGCGCGGGCGGCGGAGCGGGCGCCGGGCCGACCCGGCCUGCGGGCGGCGCGAGGUCCUGAAGCCGAGGCGCGCCGGUUGGGGCUACCGUGUCCCGGGCAGUCUCUGCGUCCGCAGAACGGCCACUCCGAGACAGCUUCCGCCAGCGCCCUCCUCUGCAUCCUGCGCCGGCCGCUCCGCCGGCGGGGCCGCGCACGGGCGCCGCGGGCCGGCCAGCUGUCGGGGGCGGCGGGCGGCGCGGGACACAAAGAGCGCGCGAGGGCGGCAGACGCGGGACGGCGCCUUCGGCCGCGCCCGCCGGCCGCUCCAAGGCCGCGGAGACCAUACGGCCCCGGCCCGCUCGCGCACCUCCCGGCCGGAGGGCCGUCGGCCGCCGAGCGGGCACCGGGAGCCGGGAAAAGUUGGCGGCGCGUCCGCCGCGGGGAGGCCCGGGGCCGCGGGGGAGAAAAGACACUUUUUACAGAGCUGGGAGCUCAUAAACGUCUCAAAAGAAAGAUGCUGGAUAAUUGGAAAUAAGAAUUUGAGUUUCCUGGUUUUCUGUGUGUGUACAACCCAUAGGAAAUUCUUCCCAGUAAAUUCCUGUAGCCUUCAGACAUUUUCAAGAGGCAAAGGACCAGUGGAUUGGAUUGGUGACUGCAGCUUUGUCAGCAGCCGUGACUCCAUGUCCCAGGAUGCAGGGCAACCCAUCUGGGGAAGACCCAAGGAGGCAGAGGAUGCCCUUCUAUGCAAACUACGGUGGCAGGACCAGCCUUCCACCUCCCUGGAGGUGAUCUGUGCUCUGGAUGUGCUGACUUGGAGAAGCAGGAACCUUUUUCUACAAGAGGCAGUUACCUACAUCCUGAAUUAAGGAAUCUGUUCUGAAACACACUCACAGAUUUAAAGCAGUAUUCUUUUUUUUUUUAACCAUAGGAGGUUUCCAGGCCAGGGACUGAAUCCGAGCUAUAGGUGUGACCUACACUGAACCUAUGGCAACAUUGCAUCCCUGCACUGGGCCAGGGAUUGAACCUGCACCUCUGAAAUAACCCAAACUGCUGUAGUCAGGUUCUGAACCCACUUUGCCACAGCGGGAAUUCCUUAAAGCAGUACUCUUCAUUGUAGAGCUCUAAUGAGGUUGUCAGCAAGGGUAAAAAGGUCAUCUUAAUGAUUUAGACCGAGUGAGUGAAUGAGGGAUCUUGUCUUGAGUUUUAUCUAUUUAAUAAGAAAUCUGUUUACUAAGAAACCAGGACCUUGACAGAGAUCCAGAAAUGAUUAUAGAAUUCUCAGCUUGGGGCUGCCAGUAUCCUCAAUGAGUAGCAGCUAAUGCUCCCAAAAUGCCCGUGGCCAUAACGCCACUUUUUUUAAAGCAUGAAAACCUUUCCUUUCAGUUUGACCAAUGCCUAUUGCACGUUUUAAAAAUAUACUUUCAUAAACAUAAUUCUGGAAAAGCUAGAGUGAUGGACAUGAAGGUCUGAGUAAAAUAAAUUAGGUGUCAUAUAUUACUCUGUUAACACAGAUUAAGAAUUUUUUCUUGCACUGCAUCUUUUUGAAGGAUCACAAAUUUCUGUGCUGCUGUCACUACAGAGCCACUAUGCAAGCUUUCUGAGAAAUUAUAAAGGACACACAAAAAGCCUUUGAAGAUGAAAGAAGGGAAAUGCUGUCCCUAUCACAGGAAAUUAGAGACUGCUGGAAUUAUAAGGGUACCAGAGCAAAUGAUCAAACAAGCCAUUAUAAUACUGUAUAGGUAGCAGUGAACAUAGCUUUUAGGAGAACAUCUUAUUAACUAGGAUUACGUAGGGUUUUUUUUUUAAUGACAUGAGCAAAGCAGUUUUAAUACCAAUAAGAUUUCUGCGUCCACUUGGUUGAGCAAACAACACAGAACCGUGGAUCUAGCUUGUCCUUUCUGUGGACUCCCCAUGACACUCUGAAUAUAUCACUCAUCCUUUUAUGUCUUGGAUUCUCUUCCAGUAAAAGCAAAUAAUACUUCCUAUUUGUCAAUAUCCCCUGGAGUGCCCUUGAGAAGUUUAGGACUGGGAUCCAAAUCCUAAGGAUAUUUGUAACCCUAAUAGAUGCUGACAGGGUGGCUUCCUGGCUCACAGCACCCCCAAAUCAGCCCCCCCCUUUUUUUGUCUUUUUGCCUUUUCUAGGGCCACUUCCCAUAGCAUAUGGAGGUUCCCAGGCUAGGGGUCAAAUCUGAGCUGUAGCCACCGGCCCACACCACAGCCACAACAACGCGGGAUCUAAGCUGCGUCUGCGACCUACACCACAGCUCAGGGCAAUGCUGGAUCCUUAACCCACUGAGCGAGGCCAGGGAUUGAACCCUCAUCCUCAUGGUUCCUAGUCGGAUUCAUUAACCACUGCGCCACGACGGGAACUCCCAAAUCAGCCCCUUUGAUGCAGAAAGUUUGUGAUAGAAAAUGGUCCUAUCUGGACUGCAGGAGCCUAGUCCCUUUGCCCACAGCUGAUUAGUACAGGGAUAGUCCCUUCAUUCCAACUGGGCUAAUCAAAUUCUUCUCCCAGGACACCAAGUGGAAAGACAGAAAGGCACUCAAAGAUUGGAAAUUGUCAAUCUAGAGAGUCGUGAGAUACUUUUAAUUAAAGUUGUGAAAUAACAGAAGUUCCCAUGUGGCUCAGCCAGUUAAGGACCUUGCAUUGGCAGUGCUGUGGAUUGGGUCUCUGCUGUGGCCUGGGUCUCUGCUGUGGCCUGGAUUUGAUCUCUAGCCCGGAAACUUCUGCGUGCCUCAGGCACAGCCAUAGAUAAAUUAAACUGUGAAAUAAUAAAAUAGAUAACAAGGCAAUAUUCUCAGCCCCUCCCCUCACACAUUGGCGUGGCUCCCUCCCAGAGCCUAUAGUCAUCCCAGCUGGGGCCUGCUGUGCACGACAGGAACCCAUCCCUCAUCCUUUGGGGAUGCUCCAUUCUACAGCCUUCCAUCCCACAUAGGGUCAACGAGACACCGCCAAGACUCCUGCCUAUGCAGUAACCCAGGAGCCCCACGGCUGGGCCCUGGUUCCAGUAGGUGGCCUGGUGUGGUAGUUCCUCUUGCUGUCUGGCAUAGCCUCUCUUUUGUGGAAUUGUAGGAGAUAGGGCUGCCAGGAUGGCGCUGACAGACCGAUUUGGGAGCCCUACACACCCUAUUGGUCCCUGUCAGAGAGCAUUACUAGCGGUAAACUUAUAUAAAUAUAGUUUAUAUAAAUCAUAUAAAAGAAUAUAAUUUAUGUUAUAUAAAUAUAUAAAUAUCAUUUAUACAAAUGUCAUUAUUUAAAUAAAUACAUUUAUAUAUGUAAUAAUUCC